rnacentral:rRNA from 1 species
AGUGAACGCUGGCGGCAGGCUUUACACAUGCAAGUCGAACGGCAGCGCAGUAUUAGGCUGGUCGGCGGGGGGCGGAGGGGCGGGUGAGGCAUGGAAACGUGGGAAUCUAUGGGGGCGAGGGGGGCAAAGGAGGGAAUAAUACGCCAAUAGCGCAGACGAUGUACGCGGGAAAGCGGAAGAUCUUGGGACAUUGCGCGAGCGGAUGAGCCGAUGUCGGAUUAGCUAGUUGGCGGGGUAAAGGCCCACCAAGGCGACGAUCCGUAGCUGGUCUGAGAGGACGACCAGCCACACUGGAACUGAGACACGGCCCAGACUCCUACGGGAGGCAGCAGUGGGGAAUAUUGGACAAUGGGCGCAAGCCUGAUCCAGCCAUGCCGCGUGCGUGAAGAAGGCCUUCGGGUUGUAAAGCGCUUUUGUUCGGGAAGAAAACCACCAGGUUAAUACCCCGCUGUGCUGACGGUACCGAAAGAAUAAGCACCGGCUAACUUCGUG